AGCGAACGCUGGCGGCAGGCCUAACACAUGCAAGUCGAGCGGCCGUAGCAAUACGGCAGCGGCAGACGGGAUAGUAACACGUGGGAACGCGCCCUUCGGUUCGGAAUAACUCAGGGAAACUUGAGCUAAUACCGGAUACGCCCUUACGGGGAAAGAUUUAUUGCCGAAGGAACGGCCCGCGUCGGAUUAGCUAGUUGGUGAGGUAAUGGCUCACCAAGGCGACGAUCCGUAGCUGGUCUGAGAGGAUGACCAGCAUCACUGGGACUGAGACACGGCCCAGACUCCUACGGGAGGCAGCAGUGGGGAAUAUUGGACAAUGGGCGCAAGCCUGAUCCAGCCAUGCCGCGUGGAUGAUGAAGGCCCUAGGGUUGUAAAGUCCUUUUAACGGGAAGAUAAUGACGGUACCCGUAGAAUAAGCCCCGGCUAACUUCGUGCCAGCAGCCGCAGUAAG
rnacentral:rRNA from 1 species